GAUGAAGAACGUAGCGAAAUGCGAUACUUGGUGUGAAUUGCAGAAUCCCGUGAACCAUCGAGUCUUUGAACGCAAGUUGCGCCCGAAGCCAUCAGGUUGAGGGCACGUCUGCCUGGGCGUCACAUAUCGUUGCCCAAUCCCUAUUGCAGUGCAAUAGGAAUUUCUAGGGCGAAUGAUGGCUUCCCGUGAGCGUUGUUGCCUCGCGGUUGGUUGAAAAUCGAGUCCUUGGUAGGGUGUGCCAUGGUAGAUGGUGGUCGAGUUAGAACGAUACCGAUCAUGUGCAUGCUCCCCAAAAUAUGGCCUCUAUGACCCACACGCGUCUUUUGACGCUCAUGACGAGACCUCAGGUCAGGCGGGGCUACCCGCUGAAUUUAAGCAUAUCAUAAGCGGAGGA
rnacentral:misc_RNA from 1 species